rnacentral:rRNA from 1 species
CGUGUAGGCGGUCGGUUAAGUCUGAUGUGAAAGCCCGAGGCUCAGCUUCGGAAGUGCAUCGGAAACUAGCCGGCUGGAGCGCGAUAGAGGAGGGUGGAAUUCCUGGUGUAGCGGUGAAAUGCGUAGAUAUCAGGAGGAACACCGGCGGCGAAGGCGGCCCUCUGGAUCGUUGCUGACGCUGAGACGCGAAAGCGUGGGGAGCAAACAGGAUUAGAUACCCUGGUAGUCCACGCUGUAAACUAUGGGUACUAGGUGUUCGGGGGUAUUGACCCCCUGAGUGCCGCAGUUAACGCAUUAAGUACCCCGCCUGGGGACUACGGCCGCAAGGUUAAA